rnacentral:rRNA from 1 species
AUUGAACGCUGGCGGCAGGCCUAACACAUGCAAGUCGAGCGGAUGAAGGGAGCUUGCUCCUGGAUUCAGCGGCGGACGGGUGAGUAAUGCCUAGGAAUCUGCCUGGUAGUGGGGGAUAACGUCCGGAAACGGGCGCUAAUACCGCAUACGUCCUGAGGGAGAAAGUGGGGGAUCUUCGGACCUCACGCUAUCAGAUGAGCCUAGGUCGGAUUAGCUAGUUGGUGGGGUAAAGGCCUACCAAGGCGGCGAUCCGUAACUGGUCUGAGAGGAUGAUCAGUCACACUGGAACUGAGACACGGUCCAGACUCCUACGGGAGGCAGCAGUGGGGAAUAUUGGACAAUGGGCGAAAGCCUGAUCCAGCCAUGCCGCGUGUGUGAAGAAGGUCUUCGGAUUGUAAAGCACUUUAGGUUGGGAGGAAGGGCAGUAAGUUAAUACCUUGCUGUUUUGACGUUACCAACAGAAUAAGCACCGGCUAACUUCGUG